rnacentral:tRNA from 1 species
UGCCCCGUUGUGUAACGGUAGCACGGCAGCCUCUGGAGCUGUUUGUCUUGGUUCGAAUCCAAGCGGGGCAG